AUGGUCAAAGUUGACGAAUUUCAGAGGUUGGCAUUAUCAAGGUGAUGGGCGUCAUCCAAGCUGGACGGUUGUAAAUGGGUGGGGAUGGUGCCAAAACAACCGGUUUUUCGAGUGUGGUAUGGGAAGGUGGCAGCACCAGUGGUGUUGUGAGCGCUGCGCGGUAGUGAUUACAGACCAUCUGGCGCAUGCGCCUUGACAUCAUUUGUGAUUGUGCCAUGAGUGCUUUUCUAAAAGUCGCCGCCAUUGUUGUCUGAGUUUAUGCCCUGAAUUUAUGCCGCGGGCAAAGUUUUAAGUCCCCGUAGGCGCCCAGCGUUGCAUGCAGCAGGGCCAGGUGUAUGCCCUGGGCGCCCUGCUUGCUGCCAAGCACCGCUAACUUGGCAGUUGGAGAGUGUUAGGGGACCGAGCUGGGUGAGGACGGAGUUGGCUGCGUGGCGGGGCAUGUGAGAGUCCAGACGGCGGCACGAGAGGUGCAGCAGUCAGUCUGAGACGCCCCGCCAGCAGCCGUGCCAAGGCUGGGAGUCCCCAGGAGCACCUCUGGGGCAUGCUGCAGUGAGAGGCGGUUGCCCUGGGCGCCCUGCUAGCCGCCAAACACUUCGAAGCUGGCAGUUGGAGAGUGGUUGGCGACCGAGCUGGGUGGCGAAGGAGUUGUCUGCGUGUUGGGGCAUGUCUGAGUCCAGACGGUGGCACGAGAGGUGCAGCAGUCAGUCUGAGACGUCCCGCCAGCAGCCGUGCCAAGGCUGGAGCACCUCUGGGGCAUGCUGCAGUGAGAGGCGGUUGCCCUGGGCGCCCUGCUAGCCGCCAAACACUUCGAAGCUGGCAGUUGGAGAGUGGUUGGCGACCGAGCUGGGUGGCGAAGGAGUUGUCUGCGUGUUGGGGCAUGUGAGAGUCCAGACGGUGGCACGAGAGGUGCAGCAGGCAGUCUGAGACGCCCCGCCAGCAGCCUUGCCAAGGCUGGGAGUCCCCAGGAGCACCUCUGGGGCAUGCUGCAGUGAGAGGCGGUUGCCCUGGGCGCCCUGCUAGCCGCCAAACACCUCGAAGCUGGCAGUUGGAGAGUGGUUGGCGACCGAGCUGGGUGGCGACGGAGUUGUCUGCGU